rnacentral:rRNA from 1 species
AGAGUUUGAUCAUGGCUCAGAACGUACGCUGGCGGCACGCCUAACACAUGCAAGUCGAACGAAGUAGCAAUACUUAGUGGCAGACGGGUGAGUAACAUGUAGGUAUCUGCCCUUUGGCCUGGAAUAACACGAGGAAACUUGUGCUAAUACCGGAUAAGUCUUUACGGAGAAAGCUUUAUGCACCAUUGGAUGAGCCUGCACUUGAUUAGUUUGUUGGUGGGGUAAUGGCCUACCAAGACUGUGAUCAAUAGCUGAUUUGAGAGGAUGAUCAGCCACAUUGGGACUGAGACACGGCCCAAACUCCUACGGGAGGCAGCAGUGGGGAAUCUUGCACAAUGGAGGAAACUCUGAUGCAGCGAUGCCGCGUGAGUGAAGAAGGCCCUUGGGUUGUAAAGCUCUUUCGUCGGGGAAGAAAAUGACUGUACCCGAAUAAGAAGGUCCGGCUAACUUCGUGCCAGCAGCCGCGGUAAUACGAAGGGACCUAGCGUAGUUCGGAAUUACUGGGCUUAAAGAGUUCGUAGGUGGUUAAAAAAGUUGAUGGUGAAAUCCCAAGGCUCAACCUUGGAACUGCCAUCAAAACUUUUUAGCUAGAGUAUGAUAGAGGAAAGCGGAAUUUCUAGUGUAGAGGUGAAAUUCGUAGAUAUUAGAAAGAAUACCAAUUGCGAAGGCAGCUUUCUGGAUCAUUACUGACACUGAGGAACGAAAGCAUGGGUAGCGAAGAGGAUUAGAUACCCUCGUAGUCCAUGCCGUAAACGAUGUGUGUUAGACGUUGGAAAUUUAUUUUCAGUGUCGCAGCGAAAGCGAUAAACACACCGCCUGGGGAGUACGACCGCAAGGUUAAAACUCAAAUGAAUUGACGGGGACCCGCACAAGCGGUGGAGCAUGUGGUUUAAUUCGA